rnacentral:rRNA from 1 species
AACGAACGCUGGCGGCGUGCCUAACACAUGCAAGUCGUGCGGGAAAGUAGGGGCAACCCUGCAAGUACAGCGGCGCACGGGUGAGUAACGCGUAGGUAACCUGCCUUCGAGACUGGGAUAACCUGUCGAAAGACGGGCUAAUACCAGAUAAUGCCAUUGGGGUUGUGGCCUCGGUGGCAAAAGAUGGCCUCUGCUUGCAAGCUAUCACUCGAAGAUGGGCCUGCGCGCCAUUAGCUAGUUGGCGGGUAACGGCCCACCAAGGCAAAGAUGGCUAGCUGGUCUGAGAGGAUGGCCAGCCACACUGGGACUGAGACACGGCCCAGACUCCUACGGGAGGCAG